AUGAAAAUUCAAAUGAAAAUUUACAAUAUCAACAUCUGUUUCAUAUGAUGGCAACAUACGAACUGUUUGAAAAUAGGUGAAAUGACGAACUCGGUUCGGAACGCUAAAAGUCGGAACGGAAUCAGAUCGGAUACGUGUAAACGGACCUUAAGUCGUGCCAUUUUGCGUACUCGUAUCCGUAUUAAAAUAUCAAAAUACCGCGAAGAACGACUUAGUUGCACGGAAAAUGUCCAUCACUUUGGGCUUGAUAACGAGUCUAUUCCCUGCCGAACGGAAAUCUGUGACUAUCAAACGGAGACAGAC